AAAGAUCACAGCCAUUUUCACACAGCGCUCCCCCGACACAGUGAUGCCUGGAGACGGGAAUGUCUGGAAUCUUAGAGGAAGGAAUCACACACCGACAAGCACGGCAGGCUUAGUCUUUGAAACUUAAUCAGAACCUGCUGGAGUGCAGUGGCGUGAUCCCAGCUUGUAGCAACCUCUGCCUCUCGGGUUCAAGCGAUUCUUCUGCCUCAGCCUCCAGAGUAGCUGGGAUUAUAGGCAUGCCACCAUGCCCGGGAGAUACAUCCAGAAACCUGCAUUACAAUUUCAAAUCAAAGCUGGACAAGUUUUUUUUUUUUACACAGACAUCACCAUGUUAGAAAAGUUGGACAAGUUUUGAAACCAUUCUGAACCUAUCAUUCCUGUCUUUCAAAUCCUUCCAAGGCAUCUUAUUAUUGAUUUGUUUCUAUAUUUUCCUCAUUAUUAAAGAGGUUGAGUAUCUUUUCUCUAGA